CAGCCGCCACGGGAAUACGUAGGGUGCGAGCGUUAAGCGGAAUUACUGGGCGUAAAGCGUGCGCAGGCGGUUCGUUAAGACAGAUGUGAAAUCCCCGGGCUUAACCUGGGAACUGCAUUUGUGACUGGCGGGCUAGAGUAUGGCAGAGGGGGGUAGAAUUCCACGUGUAGCAGUGAAAUGCGUAGAGAUGUGGAGGAGUACCGAUGGCGAAGGCAGCCCCCUGGGCCAAUACUGGCGCUCAUGCACGAAAGCGUGGGGAGCAAACAGGAUUAGAUACCCCUGUAGUCCCUGUCUCUUAUAC
rnacentral:rRNA from 1 species